ACACGCAUAGUGAAACGGUAUCAUGCUUGCCAUCCAUCCAUCGCCUUCUCUUUGCCUUUGAAGCAAGCGGCAGGGGUUCGACUCCCCUUGCGUGUA